GGUGGAGUAGGGGUGUGGGGUGUGGCCGGGAUGGGGAAGGGUGUGAAGGGGAGAGAGGAACAACAAUCAAGGCUCCGCUUGGCUCUCCCUGUGCGUGCGCUCAGGACCCGACCCUAAGAGGAAGGUGUGAAGGCGCGGGAUCCUGAGCGCCUCCAGAAGGGUCCUUCUUUGGGGUCGGGACGCCGGUUCUGCUCCCCGCUACCUCUUACACACUUCGCCCCCUCACUUUCCUAAAAGCACCCAGGCUCCUCUCUUGGCAGCGACAACGGUGACAGCAGCGGUGGCAAAAGUGAAGGCUGAGGCCGUGACACCUCGUGGUCUCUUGUCCAUGCCCGGCUGGAUGAAGGGAAAGGCCGAGAGUGGGAAGUCAGGGGUGCCCCGAGAGCUCAGAGGCGACCGACGGCGGCGGUUCCAGGGCUGAACAGGAAAGGACCCUCUGCCCGCGUCCCGCCGCGCGCCCACCGGGACCACCGCCGCCGCCGCCCGGCUCCGAGGGACCCGCCGGACCUGCCCCUUCCGCUGCGGCUCACUCUGCCUUGCCCGGCGCCGCUUCUGGAUCGCCGGCUACUCAUUCCUACCAGACUCGGCUGGCGCCUUUCCACUCACUUUCCCAUCCUGUUCCAGGCUGGCGACUUCGCUGCUGAGCUGAAACUGCUAAUUUCUGUGACCAGCUUUUUUCUUAGCUGUGAUCUGGAUGAAUGAGUAGCUGUCUCACAGAGAUGACAAAAAUAAACUCUAAUCCCCCCCAAAAUUUCCACUACAUCUUUCUCAUGCAUAGAUUUAUGAUCUUCAAGCGCUCUGUGCAGUAUGCAAACUUUUUUGUGUCUGUGUAUAUGCUGUUGUUUGCAGCUUCCACAACAUCGGUAUGCUGGCUUUUCCCUCCCACCCCCAGCCCCCACACACUCUCAAAUGCAGGAGCUGUCUGAUCUCCAAGUAUGCUAGGAUGCCACUUUAGCCUGUCUUGGUAUCUAGGGUGUGGGACUGACUUGGAAGAUUCCAGUCCUUGCAUAGGAGGGCUGAGGACACACAUCAGGGGUGGGGGGAAGUCCGGCUGGGAGAACAGAGGACAGGACUUUGAUUUUUCUCUCUGUUCUAUUCAAGCUUUAUGAUCUUGUUGGAAAACAUUUUUUUCUCUUAUUGUUUUUGUCCGGUUAAACAACCUCUUUUGAAGUUCACACAUAAGAGUAAAGAAACCAUGCUUUUAUUAAAGCGUUAUCAUAUUGUCAGAUUUGUAUUUCAAUUAAGAGUCUUUGGUUUGCAGAAGCUAGUAUUAACUGUUAGGGGACCCAGCUGCAAUUUCACAGUUGUAACCUUUCAACUUCAGGGCUCACUUGAUAAAUAAGGACCAUCCCAUAGGGCUCACAUUGUUGACCCUGCUUAGCAUUCAGAGUGAACCUCAGCCUGCUUCUAGAACCUUAGCUGCAUCAGAAAGACAUGAGCAGUCUGGUAGAGGACGUGUUCUCCAGACUUAUCUCAUAUGUAUAGUACCCUCAUUUAAGCUGUCAUUGGGAGUUGGAGGUGUCCAAGAAACACUCACCCACCCCCCUCACACACACUGAAGGGGGCAACAGAAACAGAAAGGUACACCCCUGAAUAAAACAAAUAUCAAAGAAAACUGGAUAUGAAUUGAAUUGAGUUUUGUUUGUCAAUAAAUACAGAUUAUGAUUCACUCU